GCCUAUAGCUCAGCUGGUUAGAGCGCACGCCUGAUAAGCGUGAGGUCGGUGGUUCGAGUCCACUUAGGCC
rnacentral:tRNA from 13 species